rnacentral:rRNA from 1 species
CAGUCGUACCUUCGGGUAAUCAGCCUUUCGUGUGCGAUUCUGUGGAGUGUGAGGAGCUAAACACCUUCAUGCCUGCAUAUUCGUGCUCUUGGGUGUACUUGCUCGUGUGGUUGGUUAACAUCAAUUUCGGACGCCAUAAAAUGGCUGGAGGAAUGUAGCUUCGAUCUCGUAUUGAAGUGUUAUAGCCUUCGGUAGAUGUGGUGAUCGAGAUUGAGGAUUGCAACGGAUACCCUUCGGGGGCUACUUGUCUGAUCUCUGAUUGUUGCUCAGUGCUGAAAGCUUGCUUAUGGCUAUCAGAAUCGAUGGUCAAUAGGUAGAAUGGGUUAAAUUCGUUAAGGAUGUUGACGUAAUGG